GUGACCACCUAGUCCAAAUCAUACACAAAAGGAUUCUCUACUGUAAAAUAACCAAAAUUAUUGUCAUCCAACUGUUGCUGCUCGAAGACUUCCAAGAAGGAGCAACCCACCACUUUUGGACAGCUUUUAUCAUUUAAAAUAAAUUAAUAAGAAAAAACAAAAACUAGACAUCAUUAUAUGUGGUAAAGGCCUAAAAGCAUUAGAGUGGUGAAAACUCAAUAUGACUCAGUGUGACUUGGCAGCCAGAUAUGCUAAUGUGAUCCUGAGCUGCAGGAACAGAGAAACAGAGUGGAAGGUCCAGAGUCCACAUUUUACAACUAUGGAAGGCAGCGUGGUGAAUUUAAAGUCAGGAGAAAUGCACAUUUGAAUUCCAGCUCUGACAUUGUGUGAUUGUGGGCAAACGAUUUUAUGAAUGGGAUCGUUUCCUUUCUCCUUAAAAUGAAAACUUGAAAAACAUCAUUCUGUUCUUCUUGGACUGCUACAUCAGAUGACACCUCUCCACUUCUGCCAUAUUGCCUGACUUUAUGGUGACUGACCUAGCCCAUGUAAAUUUAUGACUACUUGUGUCUACCCUGUGCUGUCUUAGCCUAACAAAGUCAGGACCACCUGAUUCUCCUCCAACACCCUUGUCAGAGGUCUAGGUACAACAAUCAUUCUAUCUCUCAUAGCGCUGGUCCAUGUACCAAGCUCUAAAUGGAGCUUUACAUCAAAGAGGAAGGCAGAAAAUUUGCAGAAUGUCCAAAGCAGUGCUGAAAAGAGUCAGAAAGUAAGACCUCUGAAGAAAGAUUAUUCUCAAUAAUAUCUUAUAUUUACUUCACACUUUGACAUGUGAUUUGUUCCCCCACAUAAUCACUAUGGUGUGGCAUUAUUAAUCCAUCUCCCUGAUGAGAAUAUUGAGGAUGACAGAAUUUAAAUGCUUUCCCAAGUUCAUAUGGCUGAUAUUGGGUAGAACCAGGACUACAACCUGCAUUUUCUGAUCCCUUAGUUCAGUAUUUGAAUUCAUUAAAAAAAAAAAAAGACAGAAUCCUAGUACUGCCCAUUUAGCAGAGUAAUUGUGAAGAUGAAAUGAAGUAUGUGAAAAUGCUAUGAGGAGCAUCUAGGUGGCACCAUGGAU